rnacentral:rRNA from 2 species
AGCGGAGGAAAAGAAACCAACCGGGAUUGCCCUAGUAACGGCGAGUGAAGCGGCAACAGCUCAAAUUUGAAAUCUGGAGCCUUUGGCUUCCGAGUUGUAAUUUGCAGAGGGAGCCUCGGAGGGCGAGACGGUCCAAGUGCCUUGGAACAGGAUACCGCAGAGGGUGAGAGUCCCGUAUCCGGCCGAUCUUGCGCUCCGUGUGAGGCCCCUUCGACGAGUCGAGUUGUUUGGGAAUGCAGCUCCAAGCGGGUGGUAAAUUCCAUCUAAAGCUAAAUACUGGCCAGAGACCGAUAGCGAACAAGUAGAGUGAUCGAAAGAUGAAAAGCACUUUGAAAAGAGAGUCAAACAGUACGUGAAAUUGUUGAAAGGGAAGCGCAUGGGGGCAGACUUGGAUGCGGGGUUCAGCGUUUCUAUUGGAGCGUGUACUUCCCCGCGUGCAGGCCAGCAUCGGUUCCGGGGGCCGGACAAAGACGUUGGGAAUGUGGCUCCCCUCGGGGAGUGUUAUAGCCCGGCGUGCAAUGCGGCCACCUGGGACCGAGGACCGCGCCUUGUGCAAGGAUGCUGGCGUAAUUGGCCUCAUGGGGCCCGUCUUGAACACGGACC